GUGCACAUGAUGUUAAUUAAACCUGUCUGACACUUAUGAUGAGUACAAAGGAACCACUGAUGGC